rnacentral:rRNA from 1 species
AGUGAACGCUGGCGGUAGGCCUAACACAUGCAAGUCGAACGGCAGCACAGUAAGAGCUUGCUCUUACGGGUGGCGAGUGGCGGACGGGUGAGGAAUACAUCGGAAUCUACUUUUUCGUGGGGGAUAACGUAGGGAAACUUACGCUAAUACCGCAUACGACCUACGGGUGAAAGCAGGGGAUCUUCGGACCUUGCGCGAUUGAAUGAGCCGAUGUCGGAUUAGCUAGUUGGCGGGGUAAAGGCCCACCAAGGCGACGAUCCGUAGCUGGUCUGAGAGGAUGAUCAGCCACACUGGAACUGAGACACGGUCCAGACUCCUACGGGAGGCAGCAGUGGGGAAUAUUGGACAAUGGGCGCAAGCCUGAUCCAGCCAUACUGCGUGGGUGAAGAAGGCCUUCGGGUUGUAAAGCCCUUUUGUUGGGAAAGAAAAGCAGCAGGUUAAUACCCCGCUGUUCUGGCGGUACCCAAAGAAUAAGCACCGGCUAACUUCGUG